rnacentral:rRNA from 1 species
UACGAAGGGGGCUAGCGUUGUUCGGAAUUACUGGGCGUAAAGCGCGCGCAGGCGGUCUUCCAAGUCAGUGGUGAAAGCCCGGAGCUCAACUCCGGAACUGCCAUUGAAACUGUAAGACUUGAGGAUGAGAGAGGUGAGUGGAAUUCCCAGUGUAGAGGUGAAAUUCGUAGAUAUCAAGCGGAACACCGGUGGCGAAGGCGGCCUUCUGGACAGUGACUGACGCUGAGACGCGAAAGCGUGGGGAGCAAACAGG